rnacentral:rRNA from 1 species
UGGGGAAUCUUGCACAAUGGGCGAAAGCCUGAUGCAGCGACGCCGCGUGCGGGAUGAAGGCCUUCGGGUUGUAAACCGCUUUCAGCAGGGACGAGGCCGCAAGGUGACGGUACCUGCAGAAGAAGCCCCGGCUAACUACGUGCCAGCAGCCGCGGUAAUACGUAGGGGGCAAGCGUUAUCCGGAUUCAUUGGGCGUAAAGCGCGCGUAGGCGGUUUGUUAGGUCAGGAGUUAAAUCUGGGGGCUCAACCCCUAUCCGGUCCUGAUACCGGCAGGCUUGAGUCUGGUAGGGGAAGGCGGAAUUCCAAGUGUAGCGGUGAAAUGCGCAGAUAUUUGGAAGAACACCGGUGGCGAAGGCGGCCUUCUGGGCCACGACUGACGCUGAGGCGCGAAAGCUAGGGGAGCGAACAGG